rnacentral:misc_RNA from 1 species
GAUGAAGAACGUAGCGAAAUGCGAUAAGUAAUGUGAAUUGCAGAAUUCAGUGAAUCAUCGAAUCUUUGAACGCAACUUGCGCCCUUUGGUAUUCCGAAGGGCAUGCCUGUUUGAGUGUCAUAUAAACCUCACCUCUACUGUUUUUCAUUAGACAUGUGGAUUGGUGCUUUGGGUGUCUGCCGUUUACUAUGGCUCGCCUUAAAUGUCUAAGUGGAAUGCGUAAUAAGUCUUCGCAACCCUCCACUCUAAUACAAAACUUUUAUAUUCUGACCUCAAAUCAGGUAGGACUACCCGCUGAACUUAAGCAUAUCAAUAAGCGGAGGA